CCGUCAUCCCUCGUCGUUGUUGUAGAUCCACGAUUAUUUACAACAAGAUACUCGAGCAGGAGGUCACUGAUGCUGCAGUUGAGUUGCAAUUUUCUACGGUUUCAACGAGUUCGCGACGUGUGUCGUUGAACUUUUGUUAGCAAUAAACAUAAAAAUCAAAAAAAAAAAAAAAACACACACACACGUUAAUUCAAAAUAUUUCCCUUGUUCUCGAGUAGUUCUUUUGUUGUAACCGCCACGUGUAUGUUAUGUAUUAUUAUGUGUGUAUGCAUUAAAAAAUUAUUUUAUACCGUCGAUAAUCUGACUUCAGAACGAACAUAUACGAUGAAGUGGUCAGAGAGAGGAAAAUAAACCGGGAAAAAUCGAGGAAAAGUAAACGACGACGCAUCGUAGUCCCGACCUGCCGCCAAUUACAUCCACGCACGAGUUGAAUAACAUGUACCCAUAUGUUAUAUACACAUCAUACAUAUUAUAUACAUAUUUUAUUAUAUGGCACGUCGUCAUCAAAAUUCACACGAAAAACUGCAGAAAAUAACACGUAUGAUGCACAUGCAGCGCUCGUGUAAGAGCAAUUAUUGGUGUAAUGAUAAAUAAUAUUCGCAGCCUACUAUUUAUUUUGCUUAUUUACGCGUAGAAAGGUGCAACGUGAUUUGCGUGGAUUGGAAGCAGUUAACUUAUGAUUUAUUUUAUGCGUCGGAUUAGAUCCCGUGCUGCCACUUUAUGAAAAUACUGAUCCGAAAUACAGGAUCAAUAAAAAUGAUUCGACCUUUGUAGACAUUGUAC